AAAUUGAAGAGUUUGAUCAUGGCUCAGAUUGAACGCUGGCGGCAGGCCUAACACAUGCAAGUCGAACGGUAACAGGAAGCAGCUUGCUGCUUCGCUGACGAGUGGCGGACGGGUGAGUAAUGUCUGGGAAACUGCCUGAUGGAGGGGGAUAACUACUGGAAACGGUGGCUAAUACCGCAUAACGUCGCAAGACCAAAGAGGGGGACCUUCGGGCCUCUUGCCAUCAGAUGUGCCCAGAUGGGAUUAGCUAGUUGGUGAGGUAACGGCUCACCAAGGCGACGAUCCCUAGCUGGUCUGAGAGGAUGACCAGCCACACUGGAACUGAGACACGGUCCAGACUCCUACGGGAGGCAGCAGUGGGGAAUAUUGCACAAUGGGCGCAAGCCUGAUGCAGCCAUGCCGCGUGUAUGAAGAAGGCCUUCGGGUUGUAAAGUACUUUCAGCGGGGAGGAAGGUGUUGUGGUUAAUAACCACAGCAAUUGACGUUACCCGCAGAAGAAGCACCGGCUAACUCCGUGCCAGCAGCCGCGGUAAUACGGAGGGUGCAAGCGUUAAUCGGAAUUACUGGGCGUAAAGCGCACGCAGGCGGUCUGUCAAGUCGGAUGUGAAAUCCCCGGGCUCAACCUGGGAACUGCAUUCGAAACUGGCAGGCUUGAGUCUUGUAGAGGGGGGUAGAAUUCCAGGUGUAGCGGUGAAAUGCGUAGAGAUCUGGAGGAAUACCGGUGGCGAAGGCGGCCCCCUGGACAAAGACUGACGCUCAGGUGCGAAAGCGUGGGGAGCAAACAGGAUUAGAUACCCUGGUAGUCCACGCCGUAAACGAUGUCUACUUGGAGGUUGUGCCCUUGAGGCGUGGCUUCCGGAGCUAACGCGUUAAGUAGACCGCCUGGGGAGUACGGCCGCAAGGUUAAAACUCAAAUGAAUUGACGGGGGCCCGCACAAGCGGUGGAGCAUGUGGUUUAAUUCGAUGCAACGCGAAGAACCUUACCUGGUCUUGACAUCCACAGAACUUUCCAGAGAUGGAUUGGUGCCUUCGGGAACUGUGAGACA
rnacentral:rRNA from 1 species